CAGGCACAGAGCCCCUGGAUUCCAGGUCCCAGUGGGGUCUUAUGGCUCCUGGGGGUCAAGGAGGAGAGACUUACUUUCUCGUGCCAAGCCAGGUGGCACUGGAAUAUUCCAUCAGUGUUGUCUCUCCACACACCCAGGAACCAGGAAUCCUUAAAGAGAGCUCUCACGGCUUUUCUUGAGGCUUUUCUUUUCUUUUUGGCAGGUUAGCCCAAGCAUUAUCAGUCUUGGCAGGAGGACAUGACAUCUGUGCUGGCCUUAGGCCAGGCCACAUGGACAUCUCUGUGCACAGCGCCAGCUCAUCCAGCCUCGGGCAUAAGGAAGUUUGGUCAUCUGGGCUGCCUUUAGGCUGCUGGUGCUUCUCUUCCCCUCCAUGUGGAAAAUACUGUCUGCAGUAGGAGCCUGGGAGUAUGGAGCUAAGGAGAGACACACAGAGACGAAAAACUACAGUUCACCUGGAAAGGCCAGAGAACUUGCAUCUGAGAGGGAGAAUGUUUUGGGAGAGAAAGCUCAUGGGCUGAAUCUGUAUCAGGGACCUGCAAGGGACUGCCCAGAUGUCGCUCCUCUUAACUUCUGCAACCACCUC
rnacentral:lncRNA from 1 species